rnacentral:lncRNA from 1 species
GCCAGAAUGUUAGAAUAGAUCUGAAUGGUAAAUGUGACUGAAAAACCGCCACCUGCCUAUGUUCCCAGGAAGGACCCCAAAGCCACUGCUUUCACUGUGGCAGUAAAAAUGCAUUUGGGGAAUCACUCUGGCAACUAUCUCUGCAGGAAGAUACUGCCAUGGAACUUGGAUUCCAGAUAUUAAUGGGUCCCAGACUGGGAAAGAAGUUCUACAGAUCUUCAUCAGACAAUGGCGCGGCAUGUGAGUUCAUCUCAAAUCUCCCUAGAGCCCAGGCUGGAGUACCAAGAGAGGCCAGCAAAAACGUGAGUCUGAAUAUUUAAAAGUUACACAGCAAUCCAUUAAAU